AUUGAACGCUGGCGGCAUGCCUUACACAUGCAAGUCGAACGGUAACAGGUCUUCGGAUGCUGACGAGUGGCGAACGGGUGAGUAAUACAUCGGAACGUGCCCGAUCGUGGGGGAUAACGAAGCGAAAGCUUUGCUAAUACCGCAUACGAUCUACGGAUGAAAGCAGGGGACCGCAAGGCCUUGCGCGAACGGAGCGGCCGAUGGCAGAUUAGGUAGUUGGUGGGAUAAAAGCUUACCAAGCCGACGAUCUGUAGCUGGUCUGAGAGGACGACCAGCCACACUGGGACUGAGACACGGCCCAGACUCCUACGGGAGGCAGCAGUGGGGAAUUGUGGACAAUGGGCGAAAGCCUGAUUCAGCCAUGCCGCGUGCAGGAUGAAGGCCUUCGGGUUGUAAACUGCUUUUGUACGGAACGAAAAGACUCUGGUUAAUACCUGGGGUCCAUGACGGUACCGUAAGAAUAAGCACCGGCUAACUACGUGCCAGCAGCCGCGGUAACAC
rnacentral:rRNA from 1 species